UGCUGUGAGUCUUAUCAUGAGUGCG
rnacentral:piRNA from 1 species